GACGAACGCUGGCGGCGUGCCUAAUACAUGCAAGUAGAACGCUGAAGCUUGGUGCUUGCACCGAGCGGAUGAGUUGCGAACGGGUGAGUAACGCGUAGGUAACCUGCCUGGUAGCGGGGGAUAACUAUUGGAAACGAUAGCUAAUACCGCAUAAGAGUAGAUGUUGCAUGACAUUUGCUUAAAAGGUGCAAUUGCAUCACUACCAGAUGGACCUGCGUUGUAUUAGCUAGUUGGUGAGGUAACGGCUCACCAAGGCAACGAUACAUAGCCGACCUGAGAGGGUGAUCGGCCACACUGGGACUGAGACACGGCCCAGACUCCUACGGGAGGCAGCAGUCGGGAAUCUUCGGCAAUGGACGGAAGUCUGACCGAGCAACGCCGCGUGAGUGAAGAAGGUUUUCGGAUCGUAAAGCUCUGUUGUAAGAGAAGAACGAGUGUGAGAGUGGAAAGUUCACACUGUGACGGUAUCUUACCAGAAAGGGACGGCUAACUACGUG
rnacentral:rRNA from 1 species